rnacentral:rRNA from 1 species
GACGAACGCUGGCGGCGUGCCUAAUACAUGCAAGUCGAACGCUUCUUUUUCACCGAACUUCGGUUCAUCGAAAAAGAGGAGUGGCGAACGGGUGAGUAACACGUGGGUAACCUGCCCAUCAGAAGGGGAUAACACUUGGAAACAGGUGCUAAUACCGUAUAAUGCUUUUUCUCGCAUGAGAGCAAGCUGAAAGGCGCUUUUGCGUCACUGAUGGAUGGACCCGCGGUGCAUUAGCUAGUUGGUGAGGUAACGGCUCACCAAGGCCACGAUGCAUAGCCGACCUGAGAGGGUGAUCGGCCACACUGGGACUGAGACACGGCCCAGACUCCUACGGGAGGCAGCAGUAGGGAAUCUUCGGCAAUGGACGAAAGUCUGACCGAGCAACGCCGCGUGAGUGAAGAAGGUUUUCGGAUCGUAAAACUCUGUUGUUAGAGAAGAACAAGGAUGAGAGUAAAAUGUUCAUCCCUUGACGGAUCUAACCAG